UCCCUGUAGCGCAAUGGAUAGCGCGUUGGACUGCUAAUCGAAAAGUCGUGGAUUCGAAUCCUACCUGGAAAG
rnacentral:tRNA from 1 species